CCAGUCCGUGCCCAGCGCCCACCACGCUCACUUGCUCAUGCGUCUCUCUCGGUCGUCUUGCAACACGCUGGUGUAGUUGUUGCAGGCGUGCCGAUGCUGUGUGCACCUGAAUAUAUUUUGUCUCGGGGGAAAAUAAGUGACCUAGAAUUACUUGAAAAUAUAUAACGAAUUGAAAUCUCAAUGAAAGGGGUUGACUUUAUAACUAAUUCCUCAUUGGAUAUUUACUGGAAUUGCGAGUGUGAAAUGUGUAGAAGAAAUAUGCAUAUGUAUAUGACAUAAUACGAUAGCUUCGGAAAAUGCAACAAAGAACUUGGUGAUCUCAGGUCAACUGU